rnacentral:ncRNA from 1 species
CAAGGACCUGGGUGAGAUUCCCGGGUGGCUCUUCUGGCCGCCGAUCCGCCAGACAACG